AAAACUACAGGUAAAUUCUGCAAUUAGUAGACGUGUAAAUUUAG
rnacentral:guide_RNA from 1 species